rnacentral:rRNA from 1 species
GAUGAACGCUAGCGGCAGGCUUAAUACAUGCAAGUCGAGGGGCAGCAUGUCCCGACGCAAGUCGGGAUGAUGGCGACCGGCAAACGGGUGCGGAACACGUACAGAACCUUCCUUCGAGCGGGGAAUAGCCCGGAGAAAUCCGGAUUAAUACCCCAUAGUAUGGUGAAGAGGCAUCUCUUUACUAUUAAAGAUUUAUCACUUGAAGAUGGCUGUGCGGCUGAUUAGGUAGUUGGCGGGGUAACGGCCCACCAAGCCUGCGAUCAGUAACUGGUGUGAGAGCACGACCAGUCACACGGGCACUGAGACACGGGCCCGACUCCUACGGGAGGCAGCAGUAAGGAAUAUUGGUCAAUGGACGAAAGUCUGAACCAGCCAUGCCGCGUGGAGGAUGAAGGUCCUCUGGAUUGUAAACUUCUUUUAUAUGGGACGAAAAAAGACCUUUCCAGGUCGUCUGACGGUACCAUAUGAAUAAGCACCGGCUAACUCCGUGC